AGUACAGGCUUUGGUCCAGAGAGACAACAAUACUUUCAAUAUUCUUUUGUUCUGCCCCAGAGGAGCUCAACACAGAAUUGCCUAGAACAAGAAACUGGUGAGAGAAGCUGCAGCCUGUUGAGACUCCACAAGAUUGAAGACAUGAAAAGAGGAAAUAUGCAUGAAUGCCCGCGUGGAGAACCACCCCCACCUGCUGCUCCUGCUCUAAUGAUCACGCCCAUUAUCAACUGAGGGAUGGCUCUGUGCCUUGUCCUUGCAUUACACGGACCAAGAACACUUCACAGGACUCAGAGAGAACACUGAAGAAUGCAGUUUACUGACAUCUUUUUCUGCUUGACAGAAGCCAGUUAUUAGUUACCCUUGGGACAUCAAAAUGACCAAGGCAGUAUCUGCUAAGUAUUUGCUGAGACUCUGGUAUGAUUCUUUCAAGUCUCAAGACAGUUAUCUGAACGAUAUCCCCAUGACAGUGGACUCCUGCACAUUCACAGUCCUGGAAGGAGCCUGUCCACAUUGGCAUUCCGGAAGUCCAUAAAAAACAAACGCAUAUGCAGUCCCUGAGAAAGCCUUGUUGUAAACAAAUCUGCACUAGAUGGAAACUCUGUUAUGCGGUGCCAGCAUGCGUGGAAGAGAACCCGAAAGGAAGAAGCCUAUACGACUGGGGACACGUCCUAGAAGCACACCCCAUUAGAUAAAGUGUCGCAUACUCUUUGAUAAG
rnacentral:lncRNA from 1 species